GCUGCAAGACACUCUGCUUCUGGCUCUGAGCUUUGCCUGUCUUCAGGGAUGGAGCCCCUCCCAAGGCAAGUUCAACUGGGUUCUUUGGCAGCCGAAGUCUACACGGACUCUGCAGGGAGCGGUGGAGAAAAGUUAGAUGUCUGAAGUGUUUUUCAUUGGACCAAAAUCAAGGUGUUGGCUGGGCUACCUUCCCUUCUGGAGACUCUAAGGAAGAAUCCAUUUCUUUGUCUUUUCCAGAUCCUAGAGGCUGCCUGCAUUACUUAGCUUUUAUCCCUUGUCUUCCAUCUUUGGAGCCAGCAACAGUAUAUUGAUCAUGAGGAGAGGGCUCACCCCUCACCCGGAGAAGUAGUUAGGAAAGCAAUAUGCGGAAACAAAGCCAUGAAUCUGACAAGAAAUGUACUUAAGAUUGUAUACAUGGAGAUGAAUACUCAUUGUCCUUUGCACUUUCUGGAUGAUAAAUUAGAAAGGAAGAAUCCAAAGAAUGAAGUUGUGCUAUUUGUCCUCAUUUCUGAUUUGGGAAACUAGAGGAAAUUAAGAUGGGAAAAGACCAUGUGAGGACACAGUGAGAAGGAGACCAUAUGCAAAGCAGGAAGGAAGAUCUCACUGGAACCAAAAACCAGCCCUGCUG
rnacentral:lncRNA from 1 species